rnacentral:snoRNA from 1 species
AACCCAUGAUUUGAGCAUUUUCUAAGCAUCAUUUUGAAUCUCUCUCAUGUCUCACAAAAAAAUUCAUCUGCUUCUUGUUUGAAAAUAGAAAUUUCAGACUUUGCUU